rnacentral:lncRNA from 1 species
UCUCCUUGGUGAGAGCAUCUUUUUAGAGUUUUCAAGACAUAAAUCAUAUUAGAGCUUUUUUCUGUACCAGGCAGAGCAUUUUUGACCACCAACUCCGUAUAUUAGUUCCAUGAAGUUAAAAAAAAAAAAACCCAACAAAACCCGAAGCCACCAUCACAUCCGCGCCACACGGCUGCCGCCGCCGCCACUGGUUUCUCUUCUUUUCGGUCGAUCCUCUCUCCCAUCCGAAAGCCCUCACGCCGCCAAUCAUAACCCAACCCAUAACACCACCAUCUUGUCAUCGUAGCCACGGGAAACUAGCCAAAACAGCUGCUGAACCACCACGAAAAUCCACCUCUCUAUUCGUCGCAAUUCACAGCCUCCACCACCACCCAUUCGUCCACGAUCAUCAGCUCUUUCUUUUCAACCCACUCACGCUGCCAACCCCCGACUGGAUCGCCGAAAACUGAAACCAACCUCCACCGGCUACUUUAACUCAACUUUUUGAUCAAAUCACAACUAUUUGAGACAAACCACCACCAGUAUCACACUCAGCACCAUCAAAUCUUCCAAUUCCACCUAUCCUAGGCCAAUUUUUCAACCACCGUCGCCAGCAACACCAACUUUUGCC